GAGUGUGAGGAACGUGGAGAUUUUGACCUUGAGCUGCAAGAAUAUGGGGAGAGCAGCAAGUUCCACAGAAUGCCGUGCCUAGCACACACUCUUCAGCUCACAAUCAAAGAUGCCAUGAAACACCCGACUGCUGAUUCAGUCAUAACUAAAGCAAGAAAACUGGUACAUGCUGUAAGAAAAUCAUCAGUGGCAAAUGAAGAAAUGAUCAAAAGGUGUGGCAAAACUCUGAUCCGGGAUUGUACCACUCGUUGGAACAGUACUUUUGACAUGUUGAGACAACUGCUAGAAACCAGAGCUGAACUAAACCAACUGCUUGAGCAGCUGGAGAUGGAUACUUCUCACAAGUGAUUGGGCCAAGCUGGAGAACCUUGUCAAGCUGUUUGAACCCUUUGCCAUUCAUACAGACCAGCUUCAGAGUGACAGCCAGUCACUCUCACAAGUAGUGCCAUGUCUGCUCAACCUUGAGGCACAUCUGCUGACGAGUCCUUUUAGGAAUCCUUUAGCUCAAGUGCUUCUGAAGUCUUUAAUUAAGGGAACGGUUUGCUGGUAUUCUUAAUCCUGAUUCCACACAGUUUGAUGCUACACCAGCAGGAGCCUGCCUGCUGGAUCCAAAUGUUUCACUGAUUCUUCAGUCACCAGAUACAGCAUCGCUGCAUUUCUGGAAAGCAAGACAGGAUGUCUAUCCAAAACUUGCCCCAGUAGCUUUAGAUCUUGUUAGUGCCCCUGCUUCACAAGCAUUUGUGGAACGCAUCUUUUCUGUGUGGACUCCUGUCAUUUGGGCUGAGAAACUGAACAACCACAUCUCUGGAGCAGCGAGUUUUCCUUUAGAUCAACACUUGCAGUUCAGUUCAGUGCUUUUUUUUUUGUUGCUUUUUUUUAUGUUUUACUAAUGUAUAACUAAACACUUAAAAUUUACUCAUGAUGGCUUGGCUUUUGUGUUGUGUUAUUGUAUUGCUAGUCAGUUGCAGUGUUUUAUCACAGCUGUAAUGCCAGCAUUGAAUGUUGGGCUUCCUAAUGUUUAAAUUAAAUUUCAUCCAAGUUACUUUAGAGUUGGCUAAGCUCUGUUUAUCUACACUACCUGCUUUUCAGAUGCUGUUGUAAAUGUGUCUACUAAAUAUUAAAGCC
ensembl:lncRNA